GGCAGUUGGAGGAGUGGGCUGGCUUUCCUGGCUGUGAUCAAGGCCAUUGACCCCAGCCUAGUGGACAUGAAACAGGCCCUGGAAAAUUCCACACGAGAAAAUCUAGAGAAGGCUUUCAGCAUCGCACAGGAUGCCCUGCACAUCCCCAGGCUCCUGGAGCCAGAAGACAUCAUGGUUGACACACCAGAUGAGCAGUCUAUCGUGACUUACGUGGCACAGUUUCUAGAACGUUUUCCGGAGUUGGAAGCCGAAGAUAUUUUCGAUUUAGAUAAAGAAGUUCCUAUCGAAUCCACUUUUGUUCGCAUCAAAGAAACUCCUUCUGAACAGGAGAGCAAAGUCUUCGUUCUGACUGAAAAUGGGGAGCGUACCUACACUGUUAACCACGAAACCAGCCACCCACCACCCUCCAAAGUCUUUGUCUGUGACAAGCCCGAGAGCAUGAAGGAAUUCCGCCUGGAUGGUGUUUCCAGCCAUGCACUGUCAGACAGCUCCACCGAGUUCAUGCACCAGAUCAUUGACCAGGUCCUGCAAGGGGGCCCAGGUAAGACCAGUGACAUCAGUGAGCCAUCUCCAGAAUCCUCCAUUUUAUCAUCCAGAAAGGAGAGCGGGAGGUCCAACUCUUUGCCGAACAAGAAAACAGUUCACUUUGAGGCUGACACCUACAAGGAUCCUUUCUGCAGUAAGAACCUGUCCCUUUGCUUUGAAGGGAGCCCGAGAGUGGCAAAGGAAUCAUUGAGGCAGGAUGGACACGUCUUGGCAGUUGAGGUUGCUGAGGAAAAGAAACAGAAACAGGAAUCCUCGAAGAUUCCAGAAUCCUCCUCUGACAAGGUCCCUGGUGACAUUUUUUUGGUGGAGGGCACAAACAAUAAUUCUCAGUCUUCUUCCUGUAAUGGCGCUUUAGAGAGUACAGCCCACCACGAUGAAGAAAGUCACUCUCUUUCAUCCCCAGGAGAAAAUACUGUGAUGGCCGAUUCCUUCCAGAUCAAGGUUAACCUGAUGACUGUAGAAGCUUUAGAGGAGGGAGACUAUUUUGAAGCCAUCCCAUUAAAAGCCUCAAAAUUUAACAGCGACCUAAUAGAUUUUGCUUCUACCAGCCAGGCUUUCAGCAAAGUCCCUUCACCUCAUGAGUCAAAACCUGACAAGGAUGCUGAGGCUUUUGAGAAUCAUGCUGAAAAACUAGGUAAAAGGAGUACUAAAUCUGCUCACAAAAAGAAGGAUUCGCCAGAGCCUCAAGUUAAGAUGGACAAAUAUGAACCUCAUCAGGACUCCGGAGAAGAAGCUGAAGGCUGUCCUUCAGCCCCAGAAGAGACACCAAUGGAUAAAAAGCCAGAGGUGCAUGAAAAGGCCAAGAGAAAGUCCACCCGUCCUCAUUAUGAAGAAGAGGGAGAAGACGAUGACCUCCAGGGUGUGGGCGAGGAAUUAUCUUCCAGCCCCCCAAGCAGCUGUGUCAGCUUGGAGACCCUUGGGAGUCACAGCGAAGAAGGCCUGGAUUUCAAGCCCUCCCCACCCCUCUCAAAGGUUUCCGUCAUUCCCCAUGACCUCUUCUAUUUCCCACACUAUGAGGUUCCCUUGGCUGCAGUUUUGGAGGCUUAUGUAGAAGACCCGGAGGUUCUAAAAAAUGAAGAAAUGGAUCUGGAAGAGCCAGAGGGCUAUAUGCCAGACCUGGACUCCAGGGAGGAGGAGGCCGAUGGCUCUCAGAGCAGCUCCAGUUCCUCGGUGCCAGGCGAGAGUCUCCCCAGUGCCAGCGACCAGGUGCUGUGUCUCAGCAGGGGUGGUGUGGGUGCCACACCAGCCUCGGAACCCGCUCCACUGGCCCCCUAUGAGGACCACCAGCAAAGGGAGACCAAAGAGAAUGACCCCAUGGACAGCCAUCAGUCCCAGGAAUCCCCAAACCUGGAAAACACAGCAAACCCCCUAGAAGAAAAUGUAACGAAAGAAUCAAUCAGUAGUAAAAAAAAGGAAAAAAGGAAACAUGUGGACCACGUAGAAAGUUCACUAUUUGUAGCACCAGGAAGUGUUCAAUCCUCAGAUGACCUAGAAGAAGACACUAGCGACUACAGCAUUCCUUCCAGGACUAGUCACAGUGACUCCAGCAUUUACAUUCGACGACAUACUAAUAGGUCUUCGGAAUCGGUUAGUAUGUGAAUUUCUUCUCUUUCUGCACGGCCCCUGCUAAUCGAUUCCUUUCCAUCCUUCCUCCUCCCCAACCCAGAGCUUUGAAAUUACUGACGUGCAACAGCCAUACUUUUGGAUAGAAGACAAGCAAAUUGAAACCUUGUCAUUAAGCACAGUCCAAUCGGAUAUCCGGUUUGGGCAAUAAGGGAUGUAAAUAAAGUGAUGAUUUUAAAGCCCAAAGGCCUCUUUGUUAUAAAAAUGCAUCCAAAACCCCCCACCUGGACCCCCCCACACACACCCAGAAGGAUCACGUUCGAAGACAGAGGUGCAACAUGAGUCAACGUCCGAUGGACAGUUGCACGUGCUUAGUAGCAGAUGUGUUAGAACCCGGAGCAGCACACCCCAAUUCGGGUUCCGGGUGGUGGGGUCUCUCAUGCUCAGAAGGGAGGGGCUUGGGGGAGGAGGUAGAGGAAUGUAUAUUGUUUAGCACUUUGAUUUUGGAUCUAGAUGCUGACAGUAUUGAGAAAUGCCUGGCAUGCUCGGCUUUGUGUGUUUAAAAUCGUUUUAUUUUCUGUUUCAGAGAUUUCAUCUUUACUAAUUGGGUGGCGGGGGUUUUGUUUAUAAAUUUCACUGUAGGACCAUUUUAGCUAUGUUCAGUUGAGGAACGCAGCAGAUCUGGAUGACAGAAGAAACCGAAUGUUAACCAGGAAGGCCAACAGCUCAGGAGAAGCCAUGUCACUGGGGAGCCACAGCCCGCAGAGCGACUCCCUGACACAGCUUGUCCAGCAGCCGGAUAUGAUGUAUUUUAUUGUUUUCCUGUGGCUGCUGGUGUACUGCUUGCUGCUCUUCCCACAACUGGAUGUUAACAGGCUCUGAUACGUGUGUCUGGAUAAUAAAAAAGACAGGACCC
rnacentral:sRNA from 1 species